rnacentral:rRNA from 1 species
CCUAUGGGCGGCUGCAGUCGAGAAUCUUCGGCAAUGGGCGAAAGCCUGACCGAGCGACGCCGCGUGGAGGAUGAAGGCCCUUGGGUUGUAAACUCCUGUUGGGGGGGAUCAAUAAAUGAGAGAACCCCUGAGGAAGCACGGGCUAAGUUCGUGCCAGCAGCCGCGGUAAGACGAACCGUGCGAACGUUAUUCGGAAUUAUUGGGCUUAAAGAGCACGUAGGCGGCGUUGUAAGUUGGUGGUGAAAUCCUAUCGGCUCAACCGUGGAACUGCCUUCAAUACUGCAAUGCUUGAGGGAGGUAGGGGCGUGUGGAACUUCCAGUGGAGCGGUGAAAUGUGUUGAUAUUGGAAGGAACGCCAGUGGCGAAAGCGACACGCUGGGUCUCCUCUGACGCUGAGGUGCGAAAGCUAGGGUAGCGAACG